UACGAAGGGGGCUAGCGUUGUUCGGAUUUACUGGGCGUAAAGAGCGCGUAGGCGGUCCGUUAAGUGUAGAGUGAAAGCUCCGGGCUCAACCCGGAAAUUGCUCUGCAUACUGGCGGACUUGAGGGUGGCAGAGGUUUGUGGAAUUCCUGGUGUAGCGGUGAAAUGCGUAGAUAUCAGGAGGAACACCCAUGGCGAAGGCAGCAAACUGGGCCACAUCUGACGCUGAGGCGCGAAAGCGUGGGUAGCAAACAGG
rnacentral:rRNA from 1 species